UAGUACGUGGCCACAGUCACGUGUUCCAAAAUGAAGAGAUGGGAUGGUCGCAGGCUUUGGAGGUUGUGAGCGAUGCGAAAUGGGGAUCCUCUUCUAAACGACCAGACUGGAGACGAAGACCUGAACACGAAUCCUCUAACCUGAGAACAUCACGAGAGAGAGCUCCUCCUUCAACUCCGUCACCAGGCUGAACAGACCCUCAUUGACCCCUGACCUCUGACCUGUGAUGCCAUCCCCAGGGUCACCCUCAUUCCAGUCAGCGCUGCUCACACACAGCUCUAGAGGAGAGCUACUGUCCCCAGGCAAAGCGAGGACUCUUUGAGUCGUUCGCCAGUCGAAGCGGUCCGUCGGUGACUCCGGAAGGACGUCAGGCCAUUCAUCAGCCAGUGGCCUCCGGUGACUGUCGACACAUCAACUGCUGACCCCCCCAACUUCCCCCUUACUCCCCCUGACCCGGACCUACCCUUCAAAGAGGACCUCCAUGAAGACUGGCUUUUGGACUGUUUACUGGGGCCGAGGUCUGCGCCACUACCACCCGAGAGUUUUAUUUCGCUCUUUCCUUCACUCUUUCUCUCCGUCUUUUCUUCUGUUCUUCCACCAUUCAUUCCCUCAGAAUCUCCCUCUGUUCUUUCCUUGGGGGUUGAUCCAGGGCGGUCAGUGUCAAGAGAGGACACUGCGGAGGUCGGGAGGGGUUGAAGUGGAUCCUGACUUGGAGUGUUAGGGGUCUGUUCCAGGGAUGGAUAGUCCUUGGCGGGGUUGGGGGGCAGGAUGUCCUCCUGUGAGAGCCAUUCCACCCUACAGCGCUGAAUCGGGGGGACCCGGGGAUAGGGAGUUGGAGAAGGGGCAGAUUGGUCCUCCCUGGGAGUCUCUGCCUGCCCCUGGUACAGACGAGAGUGUUCACUGAUCAGUACAGUCAUCAGGUGCUGCACCUGGGAACUACCUGCAGAAUGCAAUAAAAAGCUAAUCGUUAGUUAGAGGAUUUGUAUGUACCCCUUUUCCAGUGUGGGAUUCUAGCUUGAAAUAUAUAUUUGAUCAUGUUUCCAUACUAGAACGUAAUGAUUACUUUACAUGUAUAAGGAAUGUACUGUACAUGUUGGGGUCAAUGGAGGGGGGAUAAGAACUAGGUGUAUGGAAAGUUACUGAGUGAGGAGGGGGGAGUGCAGAAAGUUUACAUUCUGUCAAAACAUACUAUUGUUCAAUCUCAUGGCUCCUAAGGAGGGAGGCAAAGGGUUUCAGUCACUGAUCAAUUAGGACAGCUGUGGAUUAGGGAGGAGCAAGGAAUUCGGCCCGAGGUCAGGUCAGAUGAAGUGAGAAGGAAUAGUCCUAUCCCACAUGAAUAUAUUUCCGUGCCCACGAAGGUUCUAGCAUGAGGCAGGGCCAUGACUACACCAUUGAGAGGAACCAGUUAAAUUCCUGACUAGCAACAAAGUAUUUAUUGGCUGUCGAGAUGUGCAAGGAGUUGAAUAUUCCUAGUAGGAGGGUAUAAAUAUAUGUGCUUGUGUAAACAAGCACAUGUAGCUGUUUGACGCAGUGGAGGAAUAAACUUGAUUUCAGCUUUUCCAAGUUGUUGUCCAGCCUAAUCCCACAGAUUAUAGCAAAAAAAGUAGCAGGGCUGCUGUUUAGCUGAGAAAUACAUGACAUAUAUUGGCUUUAAACUCUUUAAACAAUGCAUACCUUCUCACUGAUAUUGUAAAAAUAAAAGUUUCAACUUGAGCAAAUCCCCUCUAUGUAAAAUGUUGCGGUUAGUUUGCUCAUAGCACGUGUCAUCACAGAGAAAAAUGUGCUGGUAUCUACCCUCCAUCAUGAUUUGU